rnacentral:rRNA from 1 species
GGGCGGCGUGCUUACCAUGCAGUCGAACGCUGAAGCUCCAGCUUGCUGGGGUGGAUGAGUGGCGAACGGGUGAGUAAUACGUGAGUAACCUGCCCUUGACUCUGGGAUAAGCCUGGGAAACCGGGUCUAAUACUGGAUACGACGUCCUGCCGCAUGGUGGGGCGUGGAAAGGGUUUUACUGGUUUUGGAUGGGCUCACGGCCUAUCAGCUUGUUGGUGGGGUAAUGGCCUACCAAGGCGACGACGGGUAGCCGGCCUGAGAGGGUGACCGGCCACACUGGGACUGAGACACGGCCCAGACUCCUACGGGAGGCAGCAGUGGGGAAUAUUGCACAAUGGGCGCAAGCCUGAUGCAGCGACGCCGCGUGAGGGAUGACGGCCUUCGGGUUGUAAACCUCUUUCAGCAGGGAAGAAGCCACAAGUGACGGUACCUGCAGAAGAAGCGCCGGCUAACUACGUGCCAGCAGCCGCGGUAAUACGUAGGGCGCAAGCGUUGUCCGGAAUUAUUGGGCGUAAAGAGCUCGUAGGCGGUUUGUCGCGUCUGCUGUGAAAGCCCGGGGCUCAACCCCGGGUCUGCAGUGGGUACGGGCAGACUAGAGUGCAGUAGGGGAGACUGGAAUUCCUGGUGUAGCGGUGAAAUGCGCAGAUAUCAGGAGGAACACCGAUGGCGAAGGCAGGUCUCUGGGCUGUUACUGACGCUGAGGAGCGAAAGCAUGGGGAGCGAACAGGAUUAGAUACCCUGGUAGUCCAUGCCGUAAACGUUGGGCACUAGGUGUGGGGGACAUUCCACGUUCUCCGCGCCGUAGCUAACGCAUUAAGUGCCCCGCCUGGGGAGUACGGCCGCAAGGCUAAAACUCAAAGGAAUUGACGGGGGCCCGCACAAGCGGCGGAGCAUGCGGAUUAAUUCGAUGCAACGCGAAGAACCUUACCAAGGCUUGACAUCCACCGGACCGCACUGGAGACAGUGCUUCCCUUCGGGGCUGGUGACAGGUGGUGC